rnacentral:rRNA from 1 species
AUACGUAGGUGGCAAGCGUUGUCCGGAUUUACUGGGUGCAAAGGGCGUGUAGGCGGAGAUGCAAGUCAGGAGUGAAAUCUAGGGGCUCAACCCCUAAACUGCUUUUGAAACUGUAUCCCUUGAGUAUCGGAGAGGCAGGCGGAAUUCCUAGUGUAGCGGUGAAAUGCGUAGAUAUUAGGAGGAACACCAGUGGCGAAGGCGGCCUGCUGGACGACAACUGACGCUGAGGCGCGAAAGCGUGGGGAGCAAACAGGAUUAGAUACCCUGGUAGUCCACGCUGUAAACGAUGAAUACUAGGUGUGGGGGGACUGACCCCCUCCGUGCCGCAGUUAACACAAUAAGUAUUCCACCUGGGGAGUACGAUCGCAAGAUUGAAACUCAAAGGAAUUGGCGGGG